CCAAGAUUAAACUGGAAACUGUUUAAACAGGAUGCGGUAAAGUAGAGCCAGUACUCUGCAAACCAAAAAAAUUAAUGUCCAUUUCAAAGUUCGUGUCGCUCACAAAAAUGGCAAAAAUGAUAUCCGUGAGAUUCGAACUCACGCCUCCGAAGAGACCAGGAAAUUCGUUAAGGUAUUAGCCUUAACCUGGCGCCUUAGACCGCUCGGCCAGGAUACCGGAAGAUGAAUUUGUCAGAAACCAGAUCCGCUUUAGUCAGUAGUUCAGCUCAGACCAGAUGACGAAGCGUCGACAAACCAACCGACAGCGCCCCGCAGCGCACAUCGCAAAGAUUCAGAAGUGUAUGAUUUAUUGAAUGCCAAUAACCCGGCUUACUAGGUAUAUAGCUGUAAUGAAUCAUUAG
rnacentral:tRNA from 1 species